AGCAGUAACCUAACUUACACAAUCAUUUUUUUUUUCUUUAGGGUUACAUCACAAGGCAAAAAGUUGGGGAUAAGUGAAAGUCCAUAUCACCAUAAUUAGCCCCUCCCCAACUAUUCAAGAAUCAAAAUUUUGUCAAGGAUGACGUGGCAGUCCCACAACAUCGUAUCAUGGGUUUAUGUUAGGAUUUUGGCUAUUACAGACAACACCCUAUCCGAGGAGGUCUCUCUAAGAGGGAGCCUCGAAACUAACAGGAAACUUAUUUUCGUGUGAUCUAUAAAUCACAAAUUCGAAUUGUAAAAGCAUCUACUUGCAUUAUAUUAGAUUGUCUAUAUCAUAUUAUUUGGAUGCGAUUUUUUCUCGAA